rnacentral:rRNA from 1 species
AACGGACGCUAAUACCGCAUACGUCCUACGGGAGAAAGCCUGGGACCUUCGGGCCUUGCGCUAUCAGAUGAGCCUAGGUCGGAUUAGCUAGUUGGUGAGGUAAUGGCUCACCAAGGCUACGAUCCGUAACUGGUCUGAGAGGAUGAUCAGUCACACUGGAACUGAGACACGGUCCAGACUCCUACGGGAGGCAGCAGUGGGGAAUAUUGGACAAUGGGCGAAAGCCUGAUCCAGCCAUGCCGCGUGUGUGAAGAAGGUCUUCGGAUUGUAAAGCACUUUAAGUUGGGAGGAAGGGCAUUAACCUAAUACGUUAGUGUUUUGACGUUACCGACAGAAUAAGCACCGGCUAACUCUGUGCCAGCAGCCGCGGUAAUACAGAGGGUGCAAGCGUUAAUCGGAAUUACUGGGCGUAAAGCGCGCGUAGGUGGUUUGUUAAGUUGAAUGUGAAAUCCCCGGGCUCAACCUGGGAACUGCAUCCAAAACUGGCAAGCUAGAGUAUGGUAGAGGGUAGUGGAAUUUCCUGUGUAGCGGUGAAAUGCGUAGAUAUAGGAANGGNAACACCAGUNGNGCGAAGGCGACUACCUNGGACUGAUACUGACACUGNAGGUGCGAAANGCGUGGGGAGCAAANNGGAAAAAAAAACCCUGGUAGUCCACGCCGUAAACGAUGUCUANCUAGCCGUUGGGAGUCUUGAACUCUUAGUGGCGCANGCUAACGCANUUAAGUUGACCGCCUGGGGANGUACNGGCCGCAAGGUUAAAACUNCAAAUGAAUUGACGGGGGCCCGNCACAAGNCGGUGGAGCUUGUGGNNUUUAAUUCGAAGNCAACGCGNAAGAACCUUACCNAGGCNCUUNGACAUNCCNAAUGAANCUUUCUAGANGANUAGANUCGGUNGCCUUCNGGGAACNAUNUGAGACAGGUGCUGCAUGGCUGUCGUCAGCUCGUGUCGUGAGAUGUUGGGUUAAGUCCCGUAACGAGCGCAACCCUUGUCCUUAGUUACCAGCACGUAAUGGUGGGCACUCUAAGGAGACUGCCGGUGACAAACCGGAGGAAGGUGGGG